GAUGAAGAACGUAGCGAAAUGCGAUACGUAAUGUGAAUUGCAAAUUCAGUGAAUCAUCGAGUCUUUGAACGCACAUUGCGCCCCCUGGUAUUCCGGGGGGCAUGCCUGUCCGAGCGUCAUUGCUGCCCUCAAGCACGGCUUGUGUGUUGGGCCCCGUCCUCCGAUCCCGGGGGACGGGCCCGAAAGGCAGCGGCGGCACCGCGUCCGGUCCUCGAGCGUAUGGGGCUUUGUCACCCGCUCUGUAGGCCCGGCCGGCGCUGGCCGAUCAACCCAAAUUUUUAUCCAGGUUGACCUCGGAUCAGGUAGGGAUACCCGCUGAACUUAAGCAUAUCAAUAAGCGGAGGA
rnacentral:misc_RNA from 1 species